rnacentral:lncRNA from 1 species
UUUGACGAUGGGUUCAGGAACGAACUUCAUGGAGUCAGGAUUGUCGGAACUUUACAAGAUUUGUCUAAUAACUUAUAAUACACACUAUGCAUAAAAUAUAAAUUUUUUAAUUAUUUUAAUUAUUUUUAAAUAAAAUCAAAUAUUAAUUUUAAAAAAUUACAUCUCAUGCAUUGCAUGGGGUUAUAAGCUAAUGAAAAGUUAAUUUCAUGCUUAAUUUUAUAAAACCAAAACUAAGGUAUCGGCCGC